rnacentral:lncRNA from 1 species
UGUCAGAUCUCAUUAAAGAUGGUUGUGAGCCACCAUGUGGUUGCUGGGAUUUGAACUCAGGACCUUUGGAAGAGCAGUCAGUGCUCUUUAACCACUGAGCCAUCUCUCCAGCCCAUCACUUUCUUUAAAACAAAACAAAAAAAAAUUAUUUUUUGUAUAUGAGUAGCUGUCUUCAGAUACACCAAAAGAUCCCAUUACAGAUGGUUGUGAGCUACCAUGUAGUUGCUAAGAAUUGAACUUGUAGAAUCCAAAAUAAAUUCAAGACCACCCAGCCCCUUCCCACCCACCCCCAAAGGGACUUUCAGAAACAUAGUGGUCAAAAUGACCGGACUAAGCCUGCAGCUGCCAAAACAAGAUUAGCAGUUCCCAGAAAAAUUCCCCUACCCUGCCCCACACUGAAUUCUGAAAAAACAAAAAAACAAACAAACAAACAAAAAAAAACCCACACAAACUGCCUUGACCUUGUCGCUAGAAUCCCCCAUGACAUUAAUAGCUGUGUUGUUAAUAGCUGCGACCUUAAUAGCUGACCCAUAAGUUCAAAAUGUACUGCUACUUUGCUGAUAACCCACCAUAAGGGCAAGCAGAAUGAGUCACUAGGCCAAAGGUAGUCACCCUAUGCAAACCAACCAAUGCCUGAAAAGGUUACUUGCUACACCAAUGAAAAUGAGCCAGCUAGCCCUAUUGCCUAAAUCUGCCCCCCUUACAAGGUAUAAAAAGUGUGUUCUUUCUUUCUGCGGGGUCUUUCUUCUUGCCUGCAUGCUGAGGGGGUCCCCAACGCAUUAGAUUAAUAAAAAAAUCCUCUUGCGGUUUGCAGUGAUGGCAGUCUCUGUGGUCUUUGUGAGUGAGGGUCUUUUGGCAGACUCCAACAGAAUUCAGGACCUCUGAAGUAGCAGUCAGUGUUCUUAACCUCUGAGCCACCUCUCUAGCCCCUAGAAAUCACUUUCAAACAUGGCUGCUUCCUUCUACAAACUAACCUUACCUACAUUGUUUGGGAUUAAAGGUGUGUAGUAAGGGCGCAUCUGUAUUCUAGCCAGAGGGACUCAAGGUGUGCGGUGAGUCUGCAUUUCAGCUGGAUCACACAGACCUAGAAGGUUUGGCAGAGCAGCCAUGUUGCUGGAUUAAACUUCCUCUACCCUCGGUUAUUAUCAUAGGACUGAGUUCUUUUUUUUUUAAACCCACAUCUCUAUUCAGUUGCUUUAGCAUCACUCAUUGGAAAGGCUCUUUGCUCCACUGAGUUACUUUGAUAGCUUUG